rnacentral:rRNA from 1 species
GUGGGGAAUUUUGGACAAUGGGGGAAACCCUGAUCCAGCGACGCCGCGUGAAGGAUGAAGGCCUUCGGGUUGUAAACUUCUUUUGGAGGGGACGAAUAAAUUGACGGUACCCUCAGAAAAAGCCACGGCUAACUACGUGCCAGCAGCCGCGGUAAUACGUAGGUGGCGAGCGUUACUCGGAAUUACUAGGCGUAAAGCGUAUGUAGGCGGUUGUAUAAGUCUAUGGUGAAAUUUCCUGGCUCAACUGGGAAGGGACAUAGAUACUGUAUGGCUUGAGUGUUGGAUGGGGAGACGGAAUUCCUGGUGUAGCGGUGAAAUGCGUAGAUAUCAGGAGGAACACCGAUGGCGAAAGCAGUCUCCUGGCCAAAUACUGACGCUGAGGUACGAAAGCUAGGGUAGCAAACAGGAUUAGAUACCCGUGUAGUCC